CAUCCCAGUCCCUCCAGUUUCCCAUUCCCAGUUUCCCCAGUACCUGCACGGGGUACGUGCGGUCGGGGUCAAAGGCGCUCAGGUCCCAUUCCCAUCCCAGUUUCCCAUCCCAGUUUCCCAUCCCAGUCCAUCCCAGUCCAUCCCAGUUGCCCCAGUACCUGCAGCGGGUACGUGCGGUCGGGGUCGAAGGCGCUCAGGUCCCCGCAGGCCACGAAGGGAACGAUGACCCGGGAGGGGCCCGAGAGACGGGACAGGGCCAGACCUGGGACACCGGGUGGCAUUGGGGGCACCCCAAAUACCGUGGGCACCCCAAAUAACAUUGGGGGCACCCCCAUUACCAUUGGGCACCCCAAAUCUGACUGGGACACCCCAAAUACCAUUGGGGGUCACCCCAAAUCCCAUCAAGUAUCUAAAAUCCAGCCCCAAAUCCAACUGGGCACCC
rnacentral:lncRNA from 1 species